GCCCGAGUGGUGGAAUGGCAGACACACAGGACUUAAAAUCCUGUGCUCAGAAAUGGGCGUGCGGGUUCGAGUCCCGCCUCGGGCACCA
rnacentral:tRNA from 1 species